rnacentral:rRNA from 1 species
UACAUGGGGUGCAAACGUUGCUCGGAAUUAUUGGGCGUAAAGCGCACGUAGGCGGUCCGUUAAGUCGGAUGUGAAAGCCCCCGGCUCAACCGGGGAAGUGCAUCCGAAACUGGCGGGCUAGAGUACGAAAGAGGGUCGCGGAAUUCCCGGUGUAGAGGUGGAAAUUCGUAGAUAUCGGGAGGAACACCGGGUGGCGAAGGCGGCGACCUGGGUCGAUACUGACGCUGAGGUGCGAAAGC